rnacentral:lncRNA from 1 species
CAUUCCAGAGUCUCCUCUUCACUGUUGACGUUGAGACUGGUGUUUUGUGGUUACUAUUUAAUGAAGCUGCCAGUUGAGGACCUGUGAGGCAUCUGUUUCUCACACUGGAUACUACAAUGUAUUCGUGCUCUUGCUCAGUUGUGCACCACUGCUCUUUCUAUUCUGGUUAGAGACAGUAUGUGCUGUUCUGGGAGGGAGUAUUACACAUUAUUGUACAAAAUCUUCAGUUUUUUGGCAGCUUUUCACAUGGAAUUGCCUUCAUUUCUCAGAAAAAAUAAUAGACUGACGAGUUUCAGAAGAAAGUUCUUUGUUUCAGGCCAUUUUUAGCCUGUAAUCGAAAUCCAAAAGCUGAUGCUGAAGAUAAUGAACUAGUCUAAAGAAGGCCAGUUUUAUUUCUUCUUUAAUCAGCACAACAGUUUUCAGUGGUGCUAACAUAAUUGCAAAAAGGUUUUCUAAUGAUCACUUAGCCUUUAAAAAUGAUGAACUUGGAUUAGGAAACAUAAUGUGUUUUUGGAACACAGGACUGAUGGAUGCUGAUAAUUGGCCAAUGUAAAUAUUCCAUAAAAAAUCUGCUGUUUCCAGCUUUACAACACUAAUAAUGUCUACAUCGUAUUUCUGAUAAAUUUGAUGUUAUUUUAAUGGACAAAAUACUUGUAUGUGCUUUUCUUUUGAAAACAAGGAAAUUUCUAAGUAACCCCAAACCUUUGAACGGUAGUAGGUAUAUACACAUGUAUGUACCUACUAAAAUUAUGUUUAGGUUUGGUACAAGCACUGACUCUGGUCAAAUGUCCUCUCAGAGCAUGGAGCUUGUUUAAAGUACAAGCUUGGCUCUCUUUUUAGGUAACAUAUGUUCAUCAAGAUACUUUGGCUACUUCUGUACCAGUUCAAAUUGUAUGUAGAGAGUAUGAGCUGCUAUAAAACCCUGCCCCUCCUCUUCUCAGAGCACUGUGUGUGUCACUAUGCUGAAAGGUGCAGCUCGCUCUCACACUAUGUACCUUCGUGGAGGAGACCUGCUGGCAUUGCCGACCCAAGCCCUACUCCUUCUGCCAGGCUCCAAAGACUCUGAGCCCACGGUAAACUGUGAGAAGCACCAUGUGUCUGUGCUGCUCAUUCUAAGAGGAGCCUACGAAGAGGGGGCCGUGACAUCAGCUGUCAGAAAGUUGGAGGUGGGCUGCAUUCGGUCCUCACAGCCCCUAGUCAAUAAGGUAGGCUAAUGCUAAUGCAACCAUAACACUUAAAAAAAUUCUGAAUUACGAUUA